GGGUGUACACUCCCUGCGACAUUGGAAGUAAUAUCAUCCUCUCUUGCCUGGAUAUUAGGAACAAUAUCACAGAAAAUGUGUACACCC
rnacentral:miRNA from 1 species